GAAACCGCAUAGGGGUUAAGCCCGAUGAACCUGAAUAUCUGAUUUGAGAAAUUCAAUAUUAUAUUAUUAGUUAUAUUUUUAUAAUUGAUAAUUGAUAUGCACUUUUCUCAUAGUAAGACAUUGCGAUCUAUUAGUAUACAUUAUAAUGAAAUUUAUCAUACGGCCCACAUGUAUAGCUUAUUCUAUCUGUGAUAAUUUUUUUAAUUGUCAUAUGAAUAAAUGCAUAAUGGUGUCCUGAUAAAUAACUGAUAGAGCUUAAAAAUCAUGCAACCAUAUUUUAUAUGUAUCACAGUUAGUAAAUAAUAUUUUUAUUAAUGUAGUGAUAGCAUGUAUUUGAUUAGCAAUGCGAUAGAUUU
rnacentral:rRNA from 1 species